CCCUUAGAUGUUCUGGGCCGCGCGCGCGCUACACUGAUGCAUUCAACGAGUCUAAAACCUGGUCUGAUAGGGCUGGGUAAUCUUUUGAAUGUGCAUCGUGAUUGGGAUAGAUGAUUGCAAUUCUUCAUCUUCAACGAGGAAUGCCUAGUAAACGCAAGUCAUCAGCUUGCAUUGAUUACGUCCCUGCCCUUUGUACACACCGCCCGUCGCUCCUACCGAUUGAAUGUUCCGAUGAAUACCAUGGACUGAGAGUAUGAAUGGGUUCGCCUAUUUCUGCUUCUCGGGAAGUGGAGUAAAUCUUAACAUUUAGAGGAAGGAGAAGUCGUAACA
rnacentral:rRNA from 1 species